rnacentral:rRNA from 1 species
CACAUGGCCGAAGAGACAUCUUGUUCCGCGAGUUCCCUGCAAAAACUUUCCUCCUCAUCAAUCAAAUACUACUACCUCCGUUCCAUAAUAUGUAAAGUGUUUUUGACACUGCAUUAGUGUAAGGAACACUUUUAUAUUAUGAGACAGAGGGAAUAGUAAAUUACAGUAGGAUAAUCUCAAAAGAAAUUACAGUAGGAAAAGAAAAACUUUCCCCGUCGUUUCGCCGCCAAUUACAGCCACACUCACCCACCACGAGGUGUACAAUCAGAGAUUCGUCCCGUGCCUCACCCUCCCACCCCAACGAUUUCGUCGAGCACCUCGCGGGCAAAGCAGGCGGACGGCGGACGGACAAAUCAUGGAGGAGAGCGGCGCGAGCGCGGCGGCCGUAGUCCCUCGGCUGUUGGCGGCCAAGGAGGAGUCCGGGAAAAGCUUCUCCGACAUCGCGGCCGAGACAGGGCUCACCAACGUCUACGUCGCGCAGCUGCUGCGCCGCCAGGCGCAGCUCAAGCCCGACAUGGCGCCCGCGUUCCGGGCGGCCGUCCCGGCGCUCACCGACGAGCUCGUGGAGCUCAUGAUGCGGCCGCCUUUCCGGUCCUACCACCCGCACAUCGUCCACGAGCCCGCCAUAUACAGGUGCCUACCUCGUGCCGACCGCCCAGUCUUGUCCCACUCCCAAGGCCCUUGUAGUUUUAUCCCCGAAUUCCAUCUCGAACUCGGUGUAGGGGGCGCGCGAUUACUGCCAGCUACUUCAAACACUAACUAUAGCGCAUGAUGUUGUAAAGCAAAGUGGUACCUUAAAUGUCAGCGAGAAAAUGGAAGAAUAUUGGCUCUUCUGCUGAAUCUGAAUGAAGACAUGACGAGGGAGGGAAAGUUGCUAAAAUUCCGCAAUGUUUCACAAACAGCAACCUUCUACCAUCCAGCUCUUUGGUAUUUGUGUCAACUCUAAUCUUCCAUUCUUUGUAUAAACUCAAAUGGGAUGUUCUGUACCCAAGUUCUUACUCAAGGGUAGAAGAAUAAAUUUUACCAUAGCCUGUUGAUAGUUUUGAGUCUUGAUACUGAUGCCUCUGUCUUUCCUUGGAAUCUCUAGCUUCUGUACUUUGCCUGUUGCACUUGAUAAUCCACUUUGUUCUCAACAGUCUGGCACAGUUGUACCAUGCUGUUUUUGUCCAGAGUAGGUGUAUCACUGUUUUUUUAUUGCUAAUCACAUCGGUUUAGCUUCUUUUGUUCCAAUUUAUCCGGAUGGCACAUUAUUUCCUGGUUGCACAUGUUUCAUUGAUGCUUCCCCUGCGCACAAAUGUUUCACUUAAUUAUUGGAGUGAAGGUACAUUUCACUGAAAUUCAUGCUACAAUAUUGUAGAAUUGCGUUGUUACUAACUUUGUUAUAUUAUAAUGUACACAGAUUGAAUGAAGCUGUUAUGCAUUUUGGAGAGAGCAUCAAGGAGAUCAUCAAUGAGGAUUUUGGUGAUGGAAUCAUGUCGGCUAUAGACUUCUACUGUUCAGUUGACAAGAUUCAAGGGGCUGAUGGAAAAGAUCGUGUGGUGGUCACAUUUGAUGGGAAGUAUCUGCCUUACACCGAGCAGAGAUCUGAACAUAUGAUGUCAAGAUUGAACCGGAAUGCAUCUUGAGAUGGCUGGUGUUACGAAGAGGAUGUAUGUUCAUGGUGUAACACAUUGUGUAUUGCCUGAUUCUACUUUGGACUUGGAAAAAAAAUGAAUAAUGGCUUUUCUGGCAUGAAUGACCGACAAAUAAACCAAUGUGAUUUGAAAAUGUUACUUACAAAAGCAUUUUGAAGCUUCAAUUUUUUUUUUGGCACGACUUCCACCAAUGUGAUUUCGCGAUGAAUUUUUGCGUGCACGACAAACAUUUAUGAAAGUAUGUCACAAAAAAAUUCAGAGUUUAUUGAAUUUUUUCUAUUUUUUU